rnacentral:rRNA from 1 species
GGGUGGGAAGACCUAAAAAUAGUGGCAAAAAGCCAACCGAGCUUGGUGAUAGCUGGUUACUCAACAAAUGAACCUUAGUUCAACUUUAGGUGCCCAUGGGUCAACUACUUUAGCCCACCACCCUUUAACCUAAAGAAAUUCAAUGGGGGUACAGCCCCAUUGAACCGGAAUACAACCCGAAUUGAGAGACACCCACUAAACUUUAGCCCUAACAGUAGGCCCCAAAGCAGCCACCAACUAAACGCGUUACAGCUACAACAAAACAAUUUUUACAAUAAUACACACCUCCUAAUAUACCACGAGUUAUUCUAUUUUCUAAUAGAAACACCAAUGCUAAAAUUAGUAAUAAGAAACCCUAAUUUCUCUCCGCACCCCCUUAAAUCAGAAUAGAAAAACUACUGAUAAUUAACACAACACGACCUACAACAACUAGCUAACAUGUCAACUAAAAUCUGUUACCCCAACACAGGAGUGCAAAAAAGAAAGGCAAAAAGCCAUAAAAGGAACUCGGCAAACCCUACCGUCCCAACUGUUUACCAAAAACAUAGCCUUUAGCUCAACAAGUAUUAAAGGUCCCGCCUGCCCAGUGACUCUUUAAACGGCCGCGGUAUCCUAACCGUGCAAAGGUAGCAUAAUCACUUGUCCCUUAAAUCGGGACUGGAAUGAACGGCUAAAUGAGGACUAAACUGUCUCUUAUCAGGCCAGCCAAUGAAAUUGAUUUUCCAGUACAAAAGCUGGGAUACACCCACAAGACGAGAAGACCCUGUGGAGCUUACAAACCAAAUUCACCAAACAUGUCUAUCGGUUUUCAGUUGGGGCGACUUCGGAGUACAAAAUAACCUCCAAACAUAAAAUUAAUUAAGAACAACAUAUCAAAAUAUAUUUAUAAUGACCCAGCAACCUUGUGGUUGUCUGACUAAUGAACCAAGUUACCCCAGGGAUAACAGCGCCAUCCCCUUCUAGAGUCCCUAUCGACAAGGGGGUUUACGACCUCGAUGUUGGAUCAGGACACCCCAAUGGUGCAGCCGCCAUUAACGGUUCGUUUGUUCAACGAUUAAAGUCCAACGUGAU